rnacentral:misc_RNA from 1 species
GAAGAAGAAGAAGUGUGAAGAGCUGGAUGAGGAACGACGAUUGCUAGAGAGCAAACUAAGGAAAAGAGAAAUAGGAUUUAGGAAUUCAGUUUAAGGAAAAGAGAAAUAGGAUUUAGGAAUUCAGUUUAAGGAAAAGAGAAAAAGGAUUUAGGGAUUCAGUUUAUGUAUGGUAUAGAUAGGUGCUUGAAACGACAUAGUUUUAGGAUUUCGGGGUGGUUCAGUUUUUUUGGUUUUUUGAUCAGAAUAACUGAACCGACCCAAAUAACCGAAAUUAUUAAAAACUCAAAACUGAACCAAACGAUUGAACCGAAAAAUCGAACCGUUUGAACUGAAUUCGCUCGGUUCUCUUCGGUUAUUCGGUUCAAACCGGAAACUGCUCAGCCCUACAUGUAUGUAAAAUAGUACUUUCGUAUUUCAAUUGUGCUGGAAAAGCAUGAUAAAUACACAGUGAUCUGGAUUAGCAUAUGGAUUGUGAACUCAAAAUUCUAUUUCAACUCAUCUUGAUUAUAUUUUUAAUUUGCAGUGUUUCAGGAGCUGCGUAUUUAUAGCAUUCUUUGUAAAAUUUUUAUUUCAAAUUGAUCCAUAAAGCCUAUCCCAAUUAGUUUGGGAUUAAGGUCUAGUUUGAGUUAAGCUGUAUAAAAUUGUACUUAUUGCUAUAUUUUAUUGGGCACCUUUUUACUUGUGAAUCUGAAAUAUUCUUUUCUGGAUCCUGAAGUUUUUAUAUGACAUCUGGGCCUAUUAUUCUUAUUUGUACUUGAGCUAUGAUCUUGAAACUUUAUUUGGCGUUACGAAAACCAUUCAUAAUUUGUUUUCUCCUAUCUUGCAAUGCAGAUAUCAACGUCCUCUUCCAGUUGA